UGGAAAAGAUGUUACUGCGGGUAAAAGGAUAAAGCAACAUUUGGUGGGUGGAUAUGGAGAUGUUGCGAAGUGCACCAAGACAACUGCAGCAAUUGCUCAAGAGAUGAAUGCAGCUUUAAUGCGCAA